CAUCACUCACCUCCUUCAUCUUCACAGGAAACCUGAGGUAGCUUACCAUUAUUGCACCCAUUCUACAGAUGCAGAAAAGGAGGCCCUUGCCAAUAGCCUGGGAGCUGCAAAGCGGUGAGCCGGCUUCCCACCCAGACCAGCCUGAUUCCAAAGGCCAGGCUCUAAGGACUUCUAAGCUGCAUCAUUCUGCCGGGCAAGAGGGGCCAGGGGCCUGGGCCACGCAGCAAAUGUGGCUUAUGGAUCUCGGGGAUUCUGAGCCCAGCUGGGUGUGCCGGGGGGGGGGGGGGGGGUAGGAGAAAAAUUCAGGCCUGCCCCAGUCCCCAGCCCCGCAGCCCCCUCCCCGGGCCCACACCCAGGAGCCCUGGAUUGGGGCGACACAUCAGGGAUCCCGUUGAAAACAGCGCGGAAAGGAGCGGAGCCCUUAAACAGUACAAAUGUGUCCCCCCGCGCGCCUGAUUCUCCUGGAGCCCGGCGCGCACAGACAGAAGUUGUGUACACAGGAUUUUAGUAUUUCCUCUCCGGCUCCAGCCCCAAUUUGAGGGCCUGUAAAAGCUUGAAUGGCGUCCAGUGCGGCGUGGUUUGCCUAAGCUCGGCUCCGGCUCCAGCGGCGCGGAGUCAAAGCAGCCCACACAGGGACCGGGCGCCCGCGGGGGGCGCCUGGGGGCAGGGGGCGCCCACGCCUACGGCCAGGCCGCCCCGCCUGGGCUGGCAGCGCCCACCAGCACCCCUGGGGACUGAGUGCACUAACGGGGGACGCCAGGGCGUGUCUGCGCCACCCUUUCUUCCCCCGGAGCCUGGAAGGAAAAAGGAAGGAGGAAGGACCACAUGAGAAAAAGGGACCCUGAAAUCUUUGCUGCCUUCCAGACGCUCCGUGUGGUAAUGGAAGAAUUCCUGGACUUGAGUACCCUCAUCUAGUCUCAACGAAGCCACCGAUCUCCUGGGGAGACAAGAACCAUCACCUUCCUGGGCCUUAGUCUUCUGAGAGUGAAAAGGGGUUACUGCCACCCAGCCUACAUCAUAGGGUUUGGAUGAAAUCAAAUAAGAAAUAUGAAGCCACACUGAACACACCAAAGCGUGAUGUUACAGAACGUGUGGGUGGCAUGGGACAGCGAGUGUUCCUGAGCUGUCACCAAAGACAGUGGCCUCUGCUCCACAGGGCAUCUGUUCGCAGCACAGACCUCCAACCUGGGAGUGCCUCUUCUCAUCCAAGAGAACUGAAUGAAACACCUUGCCCAGGUACUACCAGAUGUCAGACACCAUGUAGAGAAUAAAGAGAACAAAGAUGCAGGAAAGAGAGAAGCCAAUUCCAGGCUUAAUAAAUGCAGGAAUUUUGCAGGAUGCGUUGGAAACAUCCAACCCCGGUGAAAAUCUGUUGAUUAAAAACUUAACCCUCAGUCAUACGAAGGAAUGGAACUUUUGACACAUGCUACAACAUGGAAGUCAUUAUGCUGAGUGAAAUCAGCCAAACACAAAAGGACAAAUACUGUAUGAUUCCACUUAUAUGAGGUAGCUAGAAUAGGCCAUUCAUAACGGCAGAAAGUAGAAUACAGUUACCAGGGGCUGGGGGCAGGUAAAUGGGAACUUAUAUGCGUUCUGAGUUUCAGCUCUGGAGAUGGACUGUGGUGACGGCUAUACAACACUGUGAGGGUACUUAGUACUACUGAAUUGUACAAUUAAAAAUGAUUGAGGGGCGCCUGGGUGGCGUCCACCUUCGGCUCAGGUCAUGAUCUUGUGGUUUGUGAGUUCGAGCCCCGCACUGGACUCUGUGCUGACAGCUUGGAGCCUGGAGCCUGCUUCAGAUUCUGUGUCUCCCUUUCUCUCUGUCCCUCCCCCGCUUGCACUCUUACUCUCUCUCUUAAAAAUAAACAUUAAAAAAAAAAAGGCUUUUUAAAAAUAAAUAAAUAAAUAAAUAAAUAAAAAUAAAAA